rnacentral:lncRNA from 1 species
CGCUGAAGAUAUGGUAUUGGUCUCCUCUUCCCACCCCCUUCAUAUGGGCUUAGACAAGAAAAGAUGAUGCUAAUGGAAAAGCGAGAGCAACAGGAAACUGCUUCAGCAGAAGGGAGAAGAAACAUAACAAAGAAGAAGUUAAUGCUAGUUCCAGAGUUUCACCAGGAAGCAGGACUGUGUGGAGCCUGGCCUUGAAUGUCACCACUAAACAGGUCCUUUUAUACCAACAUGCUUAACAAUUUGUUUGGUGCCAGCUACUUGCUCACUCCUUGGAAUUAUUCCAUGUCCUUGCUAAGAAGAAAGAUAAAAAAAAAAUGCAACUGGGCUUUGAGACACCUGAGAAAUUGGAUCAUCAGUGGAGCAGACUGGCAUAUGCAUCAUUGUAUCCUUUUACCAUAUUCAGUUAUUGAUUAACAUAUUAUUGAUAACUCCUCUAGAUUUAAGAAGGGUAUAUCCCUUUUUCUUUUCUUUUAAAUACAUAAAUAGACCAAUUUAAUAUCCAUGGUAUAUUGGAUAUUAGUUUUUCAGUGAACUCAUUAUUCCAACACUCAAUUCUGUGUCUUUGCACAGGAUAUAAAAUGCCUGGAAUAAAAGUAUUAUACAUAUCUCA